rnacentral:rRNA from 5 species
CCUGACGACCAUAGAAUGUUGGAACCACCUGAUCCCAUGCCGAACUCAGAAGUGAAACGACAUAUCGCCGAUGGUAGUGUGGGGCUUCCCCAUGUGAGAGUAGGUCAUCGUCAGGC